AGUGAACGCUGGUGGUAGGCCUAACACAUGCAAGUCGAACGGCAGCACAGUAAGAGCUUGCUCUUACGGGUGGCGAGUGGCGGACGGGUGAGGAAUACAUCGGAAUCUACUUUUUCGUGGGGGAUAACGUAGGGAAACUUACGCUAAUACCGCAUACGACCUACGGGUGAAAGCAGGGGAUCUUCGGACCUUGCGCGAUUGAAUGAGCGGAUGUCGGAUUAGCUAGUUGGCGGGGUAAAGGCCCACCAAGGCGACGAUCCGUAGCUGGUCUGAGAGGAUGAUCAGCCACACUGGAACUGAGACACGGUCCAGACUACUACGGGAGGCAGCAGUGGGGAAUAUUGGACAAUGGGCGCAAGCCUGAUCCAGCCAUACCGCGUGGGUGAAGAAGGCCUUCGGGUUGUAAAGCCCUUUUGUUGGGAAAGAAAAGCAGCAGGUUAAUACCCCGCUGUUCUGACGGUACCCAAAGAAUAAGCACCGGCUAACUUCGUG
rnacentral:rRNA from 1 species